UUAAUGUUUUGCUAAAAUUCUGGUUAAAAACAAGAAAAAUAUUUGAAUUAAGUCGAGACACUGUAGACAACGAAAUACAUAUUGGUUGCGGUGGUUGAAUUUGAUGGAUUAGUACUAAAUUAUGUUAUGACAAUAAGUAAAGCCAUUUAACUAAAAAGAUCCAAAUUACAUUCUUAUAAAGAAUAAUCGAGGUACUUGAUUCUUUAUGAAAAAAUCUUUAUAUUUAGCAUAUGUCUAUCUGGUAGCCCAUAGGGAGAAGCAUCGGAUUAGAAAAUGUGUUCCUAUUGACAGAGCCCGAGUUCUGCAAGGAGAAAACACCAAUAUCGCAGCAAUCCAACAAUUUUUAUCAGAGGACUCGAGAUCUCGGAACAUCAAAAAAUUCAAUGGUCAGAAGCUCACCGAUACAAUAACCACCAUCUUAUUACCAGAAUGCCUCAUCAGAACGUUUAAUUCCUUCGAAGAGACAUGCAUACCGGCAAGCUGGAAUCAAC